rnacentral:rRNA from 1 species
GAUGAACGCUGGCGGCGUGCCUAAUACGUGCAAGUCGAGCGAACGGACGAGAAGCUUGCUUCUCUGAUGUUAGCGGCGGACGGGUGAGUAACACGUGGAUAACCUACCUAUAAGACUGGGAUAACUUCGGGAAACCGGAGCUAAUACCGGAUAAUAUUUUGAACCGCAUGGUUCAAAAGUGAAAGACGGUCUUGCUGUCACUUAUAGAUGGAUCCGCGCUGCAUUAGCUAGUUGGUAAGGUAACGGCUUACCAAGGCAACGAUGCAUAGCCGACCUGAGAGGGUGAUCGGCCACACUGGAACUGAGACACGGUCCAGACUCCUACGGGAGGCAGCAGUAGGGAAUCUUCCGCAAUGGGCGAAAGCCUGACGGAGCAACGCCGCGUGAGUGAUGAAGGUCUUCGGAUCGUAAAACUCUGUUAUUAGGGAAGAACAUAUGUGUAAGUAACUGUGCACAUCUUGACGGUACCUAAUCAGAAAGCCACGGCUAACUACGUGCCAGCAGCCGCGGUAAUACGUAGGUGGCAAGCGUUAUCCGGAAUUAUUGGGCGUAAAGCGCGCGUAGGCGGUUUUUUAAGUCUGAUGUGAAAGCCCACGGCUCAACCGUGGAGGGUCAUUGGAAACUGGAAAACUUGAGUGCAGAAGAGGAAAGUGGAAUUCCAUGUGUAGCGGUGAAAUGCGCAGAGAUAUGGAGGAACACCAGUGGCGAAGGCGACUUUCUGGUCUGUAACUGACGCUGAUGUGCGAAAGCGUGGGGAUCAAACAGGAUUAGAUACCCUGGUAGUCCACGCCGUAAACGAUGAGUGCUAAGUGUUAGGGGGUUUCCGCCCCUUAGUGCUGCAGCUAACGCAUUAAGCACUCCGCCUGGGGAGUACGACCGCAAGGUUGAAACUCAAAGGAAUUGACGGGGACCCGCACAAGCGGUGGAGCAUGUGGUUUAAUUCGAAGCAACGCGAAGAACCUUACCAAAUCUUGACAUCCUUUGACAACUCUAGAGAUAGAGCUUUCCCCUUCGGGGGACAAAGUGACAGGUGGUGCAUGGUUGUCGUCAGCUCGUGUCGUGAGAUGUUGGGUUAAGUCCCGCAACGAGCGCAACCCUUAAGCUUAGUUGCCAUCAUUAAGUUGGGCACUCUAAGUUGACUGCCGGUGACAAACCGGAGGAAGGUGGGGAUGACGUCAAAUCAUCAUGCCCCUUAUGAUUUGGGCUACACACGUGCUACAAUGGACAAUACAAAGGGCAGCGAAACCGCGAGGUCAAGCAAAUCCCAUAAAGUUGUUCUCAGUUCGGAUUGUAGUCUGCAACUCGACUACAUGAAGCUGGAAUCGCUAGUAAUCGUAGAUCAGCAUGCUACGGUGAAUACGUUCCCGGGUCU